rfam:Triticum urartu cultivar G1812 contig1106197, whole genome shotgun sequence.
UUCAUACUCCCUCCGGAUAAAAAUUCUUGUCUUAGAUUUGUCUAGAUACGGAUGUAUCUAGUCAUCCUUCAGUGUUAGAUACAUCUGUAUCUAGAUAAAUUUAAGACAAGAAUUUUAGGGCAGAGGUAAUACUUU